rnacentral:rRNA from 1 species
CCUACGGGUGGCAGCAGUGAGGAAUAUUGGUCAAUGGACGAGAGUCUGAACCAGCCAAGUCGCGUGAAGGAUGACUGCCCUAUGGUUUGUAAACUUCUUUUAUAUGGGAAUAAAAUGUUUCACGUGUGGGAUUUUGUAUGUACCAUAUGAAUAAGGAUCGGCUAACUCCGUGCCAGCAGCCGCGGUAAUACGGAGGAUCCGAGCGUUAUCCGGAUUUAUUGGGUUUAAAGGGAGCGUAGGUGGGUUGUUCAGUCAGUUGUGAAAAUUUGCGGCUCAACCGUAAAAUUGCAGUUGAAACUGGCAGGCUUGAGUACAGUAGAGGUGGGCGGAAUUCGUGGUGUAGCGGUGAAAUGCUUAGAUAUCACGAAGAACUCCGAUUGCGAAGGCAGCUCACUGGACUGCAACUGACACUGAGGCUCGAAAGUGUGGGUAUCAAACAGGAUUAGAUACCCUAGUAGUC